CGAGUCAGCCGGGCGGCCGCGUCGUCAGGUCUCGCCACCUGGCGCCGAGGAACGUCCGGGCUCCACAGGGCACGGUGGUGGGUAACACCCACCCGGGGUGACCCGCGGGACAGUGCCACAGAGAACAGACCGCCGGGCGAGCAGGUGGCCCGGUAAGGGUGAAACGGUGGUGUAAGAGACCACCAGCGCCCCUGGUGACAGGGGCGGCUCGGCAAACCCCACCCGGAGCAAGGUCAGACAGAGAGCGUUCGAGGGCGGCCCGCCCGAGCUCUCGGGUAGACCGCUGGAGCGCGUUGGCAACAGCGCGCCGAGAUGGAUGGUCGCCACCCGCGCGGGGGUAACCGCGCGCGGGGACAGGACCCGGCGUACAGGCUGGCUCGUCCG
rnacentral:RNase_P_RNA from 1 species